AUUUUGAUAUGAUGAUUUUGUCGAACGGGCGGAAUGAUCUGAUACUGUGAUUAAUGUUCUUCUCUGAAUUCAGUUACUCUAUAUGGGCAAAUUAAGGGUCUGCAUCCGGCGUGAUCAUUAAAUCUUACAAGAGAAGAUAAAAGGGAUGAUUGACAUAAAACCAGGAGCUUAAUCUGUAGUCUGAUGGAGAAGCAAUAUAUAUCACCAAAAGAGGGUAUGCUAGCAGACAAAAACAAUCAACAAGUUUAGGGUUCAUUUCUCAUUAAUGAACAAAGAAAGUUCGAGGCCAGAUGUAGCAACAUUGAAAAAUUCCAUAAAUGAAGUUGAUGCUGUGUCUCUUCCCCAGGCUCUAGGAAUUAGGCAAGAAGAUAUCAUGCUAAUCUUCUUGUAAUUAAGAUGUCCUGACAGUGAUUUGGACGUCAGUGUAACUUUAUUUUUCUGUGUUGAUAAGAUUGUUUUAUAAAUAAUUUCAUAUUAUGAAUUUUUAUUUUUGUUUGGAAAUAUAAAAGUGAACUUUUCUAAUAAUCAUAAAUAAAGGGUG